rnacentral:tRNA from 1 species
UGGAGCAGUGGCCGAGUGGUUUAAGGCGACGGUCUUGAAAACCGUUGUACCGAAAGGUACCGGGGGUUCGAAUCCCUCCUGCUCCGG